ensembl:lncRNA TXLNGY taxilin gamma Y-linked (pseudogene)
AUAGUCAGUGUGAGUUUGAGAAAGAAAAACACACUGUAGAGCUCUACUAUAAAAGUUAAUAGGAUAGAUUGUUAAACUACAUUCUGCCAUCUUUGGCUAUUUGGUUGCUAAAUACUUUAGAAUAUUACUUACAGCUAGGCUGAUUAUAACAGAAGAAGGAUUAAGUAUGACAGCUUGUCUCAAUAAUGGAAGUAAAAAGCAGAGAUCCUGGAAAGAAUCUGCCAUCCAUCAGAGGAAUUUGUCUGACUUUGUGGUAUUGCUAGGGGGUGUAUGGUUGGAGUAUUAUUUUGAUGGUGCUGGAUCACCCUCAUCACAGUAAACUCAAGAACAUAGGACAGCUUGUGAAAUAGGUUCUUACUUGUAAGGAGGAACAUAUGCAGCAGAAAAAAGAGGAGGAAGAAGUUCUUAAAGAAGUAACUGCACAUUUCCAAAUUACUUUAACUGAAACUCAAGCCCAGCUGGAACAGCAUGAAAUACACAAUGCCAAACUGCAGCAGGAGAACAUGGAAAUGGGAGAAAAGCUAAAGAAGCUCACUGACCAGUAUGCACUGAGGGAAGAGGUAAACGGCGUUUGGUUUGUUUAUAGACAGCUGCUCACCAGUAGCAAAAGCUACACCCUACCGUAAAGUAAAAACUCUUUCACAGGACAGUAUUUUAGAACUUUUGUGUAUGCACAGUGGAAAUUACAUGUUUAUUAGGAAAAGAGUAGAAACCUGUAAACAGAAUGACUAAAUUGGAGCAUCACUUGGCCCAAGUGUCAGUGGAGUAGGAUAAGUAAAGGGAUUUCUAGGAGAUGUGUACCACUUGUCUCCCAUAUGAUGCUACAAGAUUGUCAAUAUAGCAUACAGAUAUUUUUCUCUUAUGCAGUCUAAUAAUACAGAUUUGUUCCCUAAAUACUCUGUAUCUCAGAUUUCUGUGACAAUCUGAACAAUAUAAAUAGGAGAAUUGUGCUAUUUGUGAGAAUAAGGAACCUACUAAUUACCCAUCACCAAGUCACAUUGUUUGUGUAAUCAAUGAAGUAAAAAGUUUGUGGAGGACUCAAUAGUUGUCGAACCUAGUCAUUGGAGUUAUUUUAUAAAUUGAUGUGGAAGUUGUAUGAUGGCUAAAUAAAAAACAAAUAGGUGAUAACCUGCUUAUUUGUUUUUAUUUUUUCUUUACUUUUAGAGGUCUAUACAUAGGGUAAGAUUUCAAUUUUCAAAGGAUGCAUCCCCUUCCUUUAUUAUGCUUUAAGCUAGUAAAAUAUAUAUUUAAAUCCUUACUUAGUAGAUUAAAAUUGGAAAUAGAAAGUGACAAUUUAAAAAUUAAUAAAACAGUAAAUAUUACUUUAUGCAUAUCAAAAUGUUAUUUUGAGUUACACCUUUUCAUGCUACUUUUGAAAACAUUUUUCUUUAAGAUUUUGAGUAUCUUUUAAACCAUUUUCCUCUAUGUUUCAAGAACAUUUCAAACUUAUUAUGGAAGCUGCAAACUUAUAGUAGAAUAUAUCACUUGGCUUUAGCAAUUAUUUACUUUUGUUUCUAGCAACUCUUGUUUCCAUCUAUUUUUAAGCAAAUCCAAGAUAUUAUAUCAUUUUAUUUAUUACUAUUCAAAUAUGCAUCAUGAAAUAAGAUUCUUUUUAAGCCAUAAUCACUGUACUAUUUUUACUCCAAAAGGUUAAACAAUUGCUAUGUAAUCACAUACCUUCUCACUGUACUAUUUAAAUAUCUGUUACUUCCCUUUUCCUUCAGGUUGUUUACAUCAACAUCAAAAUAAGGUUUAUACAUUUUAUUGUUUUAAUAUGUCUCAAGUCUUUUUAGUAUAUAAGCUUCCCCCCCCUCUUUUUUUUCCUUGGAAUGUAUUUAUUAAAGAAAUUUUUUAGGCCUAUAUAGUGAACUUUUAAAAUUAAAUUUGUUUUAUAUUAUAAAGCAUAUUAUGAAUAUCAUCAGUUUUUUUAAAAGAAUCCUUUAAAUUCCAUUGUUUUAAAUAAUGGUAUUAAAAAUGAUUAAUUUUAUUUUAUUUUUUAUUAUUUUACUCUUUAGGAUUUAUAUUAUUUUAACUGUAUUAAACUCUCCAAAUUUGCUAUAGAAGUAGCAGAUUGGGAGAGGACAUGUGUUCAAGUUGUACUACUUGUAUGUCUUGUUUAGAUAUUACAGUCUUUUUCUUUUAUCAGAAAAUAAUUGAAUAAUGAUAAAAUCAGUUGCAGAUUAAGACAGAUUAUCUGUUGCAGUCUUCUCAAAACUUAAUUUAAGUACAUUAUUUUCAGCUAGCAUUUCUUCCUUCACAUAGAACCUCCAUGUGUGGAGGGAUUUCCUAAUGAGUCUAUUGUAUGUACAAUAGCACUUAAUGACAUAGCUUUUAAAUAAUAACAGGAUUUUACCAAAUGUUUAAUAUGUGCCAGGCAUCAAGCACCUUACACAGUUUAAUUAUUGCAUAGAUUUGGACAGCAACUCUGCAAGUUAGGUAUGGUCAUGAACCUUUGCAGAUAAGGAAACUGUGUUUCACAAGGAGAAGAAAUUGUCCUGGAUCAUACAAUAAGCUAGGAUUUGCUCCAGACCAUUUUUUUCAUUUUAUCAGGCUACCUACAAUUAAGGAAUUUCAGAAGAUUUUGUGAACAAAAAAUGUCCAGGAAUUAUGUGUGUAAUAAAUGAAUUUGAUAUUUUGAUCUCCUUAUCCAUCUUUUUCUUGAUAAAAUAUCAGCUUUUUUUUUUCCAAUGUAGGGCAGAAGCAAGAAGUACAGAUAUUUUGAUGGGGACAGCCCACGUCUGAUAGGGUGGGACAUGGGGCAGCAGUUAGAGGGUUGUGCUCUUUCUAGUGUGGGAUAGUUUGCAAGAUGAUAUGUUGUAGCCACUUCUGCAGUGACGGGGACAGAAGGAGUCAGUGUUCUUAACUACAGUGGUAGCAGCAGAAAAGAAGGGUAAGCAGGGUUCUAGAAAUUUGUGUUAUGUUUUCUCCCCACUGUAUUUAUUUCUUUGGUUAGUGGUGCAAGAAAUUCUGUUUUCCUGUAGCAAAUUAAUAAAGCGUUCAAACAUAAGGAAUUACGACAACAGCUUGUAGAUGCCAGACUUCAACAAACAGCACAGCUGAUAAAAGAAGCUGAUGAAAGACAUCAGAGAGAGAGAGAGUUUGUAAGUUCUACUUCUUGGAAAAAAAAAAAAGAUCGCCAAAAUUGUAACCAAAGCCAUUUAAAACAAACUCCUCACUUAACAUAGUGCCAGGGCAUGCAAUUUUGUUUCUUACUCUCUGGAUGUGGGAUAUGCGAGUGUGUGUGUGUGUGUGUGUGUGUGUGUAUUAAGCUUUCUGUUUCUGAUGAAAUUUUCAUAUGAAAUUUACUGGAGAUAAGAUUAAAUUAGUGGAAAAACAAGAUAAUUUUGCUUUCUAUGUAGUGGUCACCAAGUUAAAGAAUUGUGCCAGUUAUUAGGCAAGAUAGGCUUUGAGAUUUAGGGACAGUUAAAUUUUACACCAACUUAGUGAACAUGAGACUUCUACCUAGUGUUACAUUUCAUUUUUAAAUAAGCAAUUUAAAAAUUGGUAAAUGAUUUGUUUACUUUGAUUAUAUUCUGGUAUAAUUUUCUGACAAAAUUAUCUGUGUCUUGGUCAGCAUUGUUGCUAGAAUAUGUAUUCAGAUUUUGUCUGUCCAUAAUUGAGAACACAGAAAAAAUCUAAUUUGACUAUACCCAUUUACCCCCAUGGAAAUGAAACUAUAUUCUAUGAAUGAAAAAUGAUUUUAAUAAUGUGGUGUAUUACAUUUUCUUCAUUCAAGUAAUGUAGGCCCUGAGUAGAGCAUGUUAUGAAUAUUUAGUUCCUUAGUGUUUUCUCAUUCAAGCCUCUCAUAUUGAAUGAGUCUAGGGUUUGGAGAGAUGUUUCACACAGCAUGUCUCUUCAGUGCAAGCUGACAGAUAUCAGUGCACAAUUAAAGAAACUUAAUUGCACCUUUCAACUUGGAGUAUAAAUUUUGUAUGUAUCUAUGUAUAUCUAUGUGUGUAUUUUGUGGUUUAAGGCUUAUUUACAUAAUAUGUGACAUUUUACCUCAGAAAUUCAGUGACUGAAUUUCACAGCUGCUUCCCAUGCAUCUUUAUUAUCUAUGUUUCUGAAAAACUCAAAUACUAACUAAUCUCUUUUCUUCCCUUAGCUGUUCCUUUCCUGUGGUUUUAAAAAAGUGACCAGAAACUAGGUCUCUAUUUUCAUUGCUUUGCUGCAUAUUCUUUUAACCUGCUUUUAUCUUUUACAGAGUUGAGGGGCUUUCUAAAUAACCUAGACAAUGUCAAGAUUCUUAGCUGCGUUUUCUGUCUAAAAGUGUAGAUGUCUAGUUAUUCCUCAUGUAAAACACAACAUUUCAACCCUGAGUACUAUAAACUUUAUUAUGCUUCUAGGUUACUUUUUCUCUUUAAGCAAUUAUUCCUACAUUCCUAAGUGUUCACCAGUGGAACAGAUAAGAGAUAGAAGUAGUUAGAAAUUGAGAUAAUUGGGUUGACCUGUCAUUGUUGCCAGGAUAAUUACUGGAAGAUUAAGCCUAUCUGUUAGACAUUUUGACCAUGUUUAUAAUUGUUGUUAGUAUUCUGUCAGAAUGUAUCUGUUUUCUAGUUAUUAAAAGAAGCAACAGAAUCGAGGCACAAAUAUGAAGAAAUGAAACAAGAAGAAGCACAACUGAAAGAGCAGCUUUUCCUUUAUAUGGAUAAGUUUGAAGAAUUCCAGACUACCAUGGCAAAAACCAAUGAACUUUUUACAGCCUUCAAGCAGGAAACGGAAAAGCUGACAAAGAAAAUUAAAAAACUGGAAAAAGAAAUGGUAAUAUGGUAUACCAAAUGGGAAAAUAAUAAUACAACACUUCUGCAAAUGGCUGAAGAGAAAACUAUUCGUGAUAAAAAUUAUAAGGUCUUUCAAAUAAAAUUGGAGCGGUUAGAGAAGCUGUACAAGGCUCUUCAAAUAGAAAGGAAUGAACUCAGUGAGAAACUGGGAAUUCUGAAAGGGCAGGUCUCUGUGAAAGUAGCAGAUGUAGAUUUAGCAGUGCCUGUGACGCAUUCCUGUGCUGACCUGGAUUCUUCCAAUAUGCUGAACACUUCCUCUAAAAGAGCCCCAGGAGUCCAUCUGGAGGCUGACCCCAAAGGAAUGAAUGAAGUAAAAUGCUACUCAAAAGCCCUCUCCACAGGAUCUCCUCUAGGCAUUGAUUAAGAUUAAGUGUGAUCAUUGUACUGAUGGAUAUAUUUUGUGUACAUGUUUCUCUUUUAGUUGUAACUAUUGAUUUUGUAAUGAAAAUUUCCUCUCCUUUUUCUACCAUAUCUCUGUUUUUUUAGAACUACUCAACUGUGUGGUAACAGAAAGCUUCUUACCAAUUUCCCCAACUAUGUUGCACAUCAGCCUCAUUUUCCCCCUUUAUUGGAAUGCAUGUUUUCAUUGCCUUCUCCUUUCAAAGUGUACGUUUGUGUGUUCAUCACCUUAAAUUAUCUUAAUUUGAGACUUUUUUAUAAUGGUUUCGUAAUGUGAAAUCAAAUACUAAUUUAAACUCUGGAGCCCAUAAUAUCUACAUAAAAGAAAAUAUAAACUGACUAAUAUUGUCAAGUCAUUUAAAUGAUAAGUAAAACUUCAAUGGAUUAAGAAACAAGCAUGGCAUAUUUGAUUCAGAUCAGUUUUUUGACAAUAUUUGUAUGACUUUCCAAAUUGAUGUGACUGUAAACUUUGAAUUCCUCAAAAUUGACAGAAUAUAUAUAUAUAUAUAUAUAUAUAUAUAUAUAUAUAUGUAUGUACACACACACAGAGAGAUCAUUUAAAUGUAAAUGAUGUUAAGAAAAACCAAAACAGUAGCAUAUGCAGGCAAGUCAUUGGACCAAUAGGCUUAAUAUUUAUGAAACUGACAAUUGUUCUGCUUUAGUUUCAGGUUACAAUUAUGUUUAAAGAAAAAAAAAUCAGUAUCUAGAUCUCUGCACUUGGCAUGGAAAAUUUUGAACUAUUUAUUCCUUAAUUUUCUUUUAUUUCAGUUUCUCAUAGAGCUAAAUGGUUUUACAUAUAUUCUCUUGUCAGAUUUGUGGUCUAAUAGAGGUAGAAAAUGGAAAUUUUCCCAGUACUUAGAAAUAUGGUACUUAGGAAGAAGUCUAGGAUGUGAAUUACAUAUACACUUCCCCUAGUGACUAUGAUAAUCAAGGGGGCAGAUAGCAGAGGAAAAUAAGUUAACAUGAAAUUUGACAAAUUUUAUUACUUUGCCAAAAUUAGCAAAACAAAAAUACUCACCUUCCCCUGCUCACCCCCCAACUUUUUAUAAAUAUUCAAUUCAGCUACAAAACAAAAUACUGGACCCACUUCUUUCAGAAGAGAUGAAGAUACCUUAUAUGCCCUAAAGUUAAUACCAGCAGUCAUAUUUUAUCAGAUGUAAAUCUGGAUGUAAGCUCUUAAUGUUAUACUAAGGCAGUUUCUUAGGCUGUGACACUUCUUUGUGGUACUUGUUUUGUGUGAAAGGUAAAUUUUGGGGAGAAAACAAUGUGAAAAACAGAACUUGUUCUGUUGUUUUUGGCAUACUGUUUAUGUUAGAUACACUGUGUUACAAUACAAUAUUACGAAGAUCUGCAUUGUAUUUUGGAAUUUGGUUUCCUUUCAGAAUUAUUGCUCUGGCUAGCAUUGGAAACAACAACAACAACAAAACCCAAAGGAACCCUUUGCAGAAGAUUCCCUUGUAAAUGGCCCUGUGGCAUGCCCAGUAUCUGCAAUGUUCUAGAAUAGAAGUUGGCAAACCUCUCUGUUUGCCAAGCCUGCAGAGUUGAACAUGUCCAUAAAUGUAUACAAUCUGACCCUGUUUUUUGGCCCUGUUUCUGGACACUGUAGCUGACCAAGAAAAUGUUUAAAUGUUGCGAUCAAUUAAAUUUUUUUGUUGUAUCAUUCUGGAGUUGUAAUAUGUAUAGUGGCAGGGGAUUCCAAGCUAUAGAAAAAACAUGAGUCUAGAAUGACAGAGUGUGUCAUCUUCAAAUGUGUAUUAAUAUAUUUCUUGAUGAUGAGACCAAUAUUUCUAAGUUAAUGGAACUAUUUUAUUACACCUGAUAAUCACAGUUCAAUUCUUGUCUGUUGCAGAAUUAUCUACCUCUUUCAAACUGUAAAUGAAAAUAACUGUGAAAAAAAGGAUGCAGUACUGAUAAAAACACUGCUUUGUUUUUAUCUCACCUCUUUUUUAAGGAUAUGAUUUUAUAAGAGGCAGUUCUCUUUUGCUUUUCAAGACUUCUGUAGAGUUUGUGUUUUUUGUUUUUGUUUUUGUUUUUGUUUUUGUUUUUUUACCUAAUGUGAAUCUUAUUUUAUCUACUCAACUUCGUUCAGGUUAACUAAAGAUAUAGAUAUAAUGGUUAA